GCCUUCGUGGUGCAAUGGUAGCAUACUCGACGCGUUUCGAGAGGUCCAGGUUCGAAUCCCGGCGAGGGCA